CCUACGGGGGGCUGCAGUGGGGAAUAUUGGACAAUGGGGGCAACCCUGAUCCAGCCAUGCCGCGUGUGUGAAGAAGGCCCUCGGGUUGUAAAGCACUUUCAGUGAGGAAGAACGCCUGGUGGUUAAUACCCAUCAGGAAAGACAUCACUCACAGAAGAAGCACCGGCUAACUCCGUGCCAGCAGCCGCGGUAAUACGGAGGGUGCGAGCGUUAAUCGGAAUUACUGGGCGUAAAGCGCGCGUAGGUGGCUUGAUAAGCCGGUUGUGAAAGCCCCGGGCUCAACCUGGGAACGGCAUCCGGAACUGUCAAGCUAGAGUGCAGGAGAGGAAGGUAGAAUUCCCGGUGUAGCGGUGAGAUGCGUAGAGAUCGGGAGGAAUACCAGUGGCGAAGGCGGCCUUCUGGACUGACACUGACACUGAGGUGCGAAAGCGUGGGUAGCAAACAGGAUUAGAUACCCUGGUAGUC
rnacentral:rRNA from 1 species